AAAUAAGAAGCAAAUAUUGCAAUUAGUUUCGACCUAAUCCUAGAUGAAAAAUCAUCCUUAUUUU
rnacentral:tRNA from 1 species